rnacentral:rRNA from 1 species
AUUGAACGCUGGCGGCAUGCCUAACACAUGCAAGUCGAACGGCAGCACGGUCCAGUUUACUGGAUGGGUGGCGAGUGGCGAACGGGUGAGUAACGCGUAGGAAGAUGCCUUGACGAGGGGGACAACUUGGGGAAACUCAAGCUAAUACCGCAUAACCUCACAGGAGAAAAGCUGGGGACCGAAAGGCCUGGCGCUUCAAGAUUAGCCUGCGUCCGAUUAGCUAGUUGGCGGGGUGAGGGCCCACCAAAGCGACGAUCGGUAGCUGGUCUGAGAGGAUGGCCAGCCACACUGGGACUGAGACACGGCCCAGACUCCUACGGGAGGCAGCAGUGGGGAGUAUUGGACAAUGGGGGCAACCCUGAUCCAGCAAUGCCGCGUGUGUGAAGAAGGGCUGAGGGUUGUAAAGCACUAUCGGUGGGGAGGAGGAUUAGUUGGUUAAGAGCUGAUUAAUUGGACGUUACCCAUAGAAGAAGCACCGGCUAACUCCGUGCCAGCCGCCGCGGUAACAC